UGUCUAUGGAGGAAAGUGGCCCUGACA
rnacentral:piRNA from 1 species